rnacentral:rRNA from 1 species
ACGAUGACUCUCGGCAACGGAUAUCUCGGCUCUCGCAUCGAUGAAGAACGUAGCGAAAUGCGAUACGUGGUGUGAAUUGCAGAAUCCGGUGAACCAUCGAGUCUUUGAACGCAAGUUGCGCCUUAGGGAUCCGCCCGAGGGCACGCCUGCCUGGGCGUUAGAA